rnacentral:rRNA from 1 species
ACCCCGGGUCGAGGUUCACUCCCAACCCCUGUGACAUACCUUAAUGUUGCCUCGGCGGAUCAGCCCGCGCCCCGUAAAACGGGACGGCCCGCCAGAGGACCCAAACUCUAAUGUUUCUUAUUGUAACUUCUGAGUAAAACAAACAAAUAAAUCAAAACUUUCAACAACGGAUCUCUUGGUUCUGGCAUCGAUGAAGAACGCAGCAAAAUGCGAUAAGUAAUGUGAAUUGCAGAAUUCAGUGAAUCAUCGAAUCUUUGAACGCACAUUGCGCCCGCUGGUAUUCCGGCGGGCAUGCCUGUUCGAGCGUCAUUUCAACCCUCAAGCCCCCGGGUUUGGUGUUGGGGAUCGGCUCUGCCCUUCUGGGCGGUGCCGCCCCCGAAAUACAUUGGCGGUCUCGCUGCAGCCUCCAUUGCGUAGUAGCUAACACCUCCGCAACUGGAACGCGGCGCGGCCAUGCCGUAAAACCCCAACUUCUGAAUGGUUGACCUCGGAUCAGGUAGGAAUACCCGCUUAAACUUAACAUUAUCAAUAAGCGGAAGGAAA